rnacentral:snoRNA from 1 species
UACUGAUGAUGUGGACAGUGAAGAAGAUCUUUGAACCUAUCCCAUGCAUGAUAGAAGUUCUUAUCUCUCCUUUGUUUAAAGCUCACAAUUUCACUAUGCAGUUU